rnacentral:rRNA from 1 species
UACGUAGGGGGCAAGCGUUGUCCGGAUUUAUUGGGCGUAAAGAGCGUGUAGGCGGCCAUGUAGGUCCGUUGUGAAAACUCGAGGCUCAACCUCGAGACGCCGAUGGAAACCAUGUGGCUAGAGUCCGGAAGAGGAGAGUGGAAUUCCUGGUGUAGCGGUGAAAUGCGCAGAUAUCAGGAAGAACACCCGUGGCUAAGGCGGCUCUCUAGUACGGUACUGACGCUGAGACGCGAAAGCUAGGGGAGCAAACGGG